AUCAUAAAGACUUAGAAGACACUUGGACUGCUUCAUGUGGAGAAAGCAAGUUUGUCAUCCAGCCUAUUUCCCAAUGAUAUCUUGAGCUGCUAAAUACACUAACAGAUAUAGAAGCUGAUUGCAUUUUAUUUUAACAUAUACUAUUAAUAAAUCCCUUGAUUAAAUAAUCAUUAAUAUAAAAAUAGAGUAAAAGGCUUAAAGUAUUUAUAAUCAAACCAACUCCAAAUAUGCAACCUAACUCAUUGUGUUUUGUUCUGCAUGUCUUAAACCAUUGGUUAAGGGAAGAUGCUAAGCUCUAAGUUCAUCUUCUUGCACCAUCUUAGACUUCUUUUUAUAUCUCUGGCAUUGUUCCCAUUGCUAAAUUGGCACUUAUUACUUUGCAACUUAAUUAUCUCUUAUGGCAGCAAAAGAAACUAUCAACAGAGUAAACAGACAACCUACAGAAUGAGAGAAAAUAUUCGCGAACUAUGCAUCAGAGAAAGGUCUAAUAUCCAGACCCUAUAAGGGACUUAAUUCAACAAGCAAAAACCAAAAAGCCCCAUUAAAAAGUGGCCAAAAGACAUGUACAGACACUUCUCAAAAGAAGACCUGCAAGUGACCAGCAGACAUAAGAAAAAUGCUCAACAUCACGAAUCAUCAGAGAAAUGCAAAUCAAAACCACAGUGAGAUACCAACUCACACCAAUCAGAAUGGCUAUUAUUAAAAAGUUAGAAAAACAACGGAUGCUGUUGAGGCUGCAGAGAAAAGGGAAUGCAGUAUGGAGAUUUCUCAAAGAACUAAAAUAGAACUACCAUUUGACCUAGCAAUUCCGUUAGUGGGUAUAUAUCUAAAGGAAAAUGAAUCAUUCUACCUAAAAGAUACAUUCACGUGUAUGUUUAUUGUAGUGUUACUCACAAUAGCAAAAACACGGAGUCAACCAAGGUGCCCAUCAACAGAGGAUCGGAUUAAAAAAAAGUGGUAUGUAUACAACAUGAAAUACUAUGCAGCCAUGAAAAAGAAUGAAAUUAUGUGCUUUGCAGCAACAUGGAUGUAGCUAGGGGCCAUCUCAGCAAAUUAAUGCAGGAACAGAAAACCAAAUACCACUUGUUCUCACUUAUAAGUGGAAACUAAAUAUUGGGUACACAUGGACAUAAAGAUGAUACUAAGAGACACUGGUGACUCCUAGAGUGGGGAGGAAGAGAUGUGGGCAAGGGUUGAAAAACUAUUGAGCAUUAUGCUUACUACCUGCGUGAUGGGAUCAAUCAUACCCCAAAUCUCAGCAUCACAUAAUAUCUAUGUAACAAACCUACACAUAUACCCCCUGAAUCAAAAAUAAAAGUUAAAAUUAUUUCUUAAAAAUUAUUAUUUGUGAUGGGCUUAGGACAGAUAUUUUACUCAUUUUUUUAUUCUAUUAGCAUUUAGUGCAGAAUCCAG
rnacentral:lncRNA from 10 species